GACGUAGGGGGCCAGCGUUGUUCGGAAUUACUGGGUGUAAAGGGUUCGUAGGCGGUGUGGCAAGUCGGGAGUGAAAUCUCUGGGCUCAACCCAGAGUCUGCUUCCGAAACUGCUGUGCUUGAGUGUGGGAGAGGCGCGUGGAAUUGCAGGUGUAGCGGUGAAAUGCGUAGAUAUCAGGAGGAACACCAGUGGCGAAGGCGGGAUCCUGGGCCAGUACUGACGCUGAUGAGCGAAAGCGUGGGGAGCAAACAGG
rnacentral:rRNA from 1 species